GUGCCAGCAGCCGCGGUAAUACGUAGGGUGCGAGCGUUAAUCGGAAUUACUGGGCGUAAAGCGUGCGCAGGCGGUUCGCUAAGACAGGUGUGAAAUCCCCGGGCUCAACCUGGGAAUGGCGCUUGUGACUGGCGGGCUAGAGUACGGCAGAGGGGGGUGGAAUUCCACGUGUAGCAGUGAAAUGCGUAGAGAUGUGGAGGAACACCGAUGGCGAAGGCAGCCCCCUGGGCCGAUACUGACGCUCAUGCACGAAAGCGUGGGGAGCAAACAGGAUUAGAUACCCUGGUAGUCCACGCCCUAAACGAUGUCGACUAGUCGUUCGGAGAGGUAACUUUCUGAGUGACGCAGCUAACGCGUGAAGUCGACCGCCUGGGGAGUACGGUCGCAAGAUUAAA
rnacentral:rRNA from 1 species